GACGAACGCUGGCGGCGUGCUUAACACAUGCAAGUCGAACGGAAAGGCCCUGCUUUUGUGGGGUGCUCGAGUGGCGAACGGGUGAGUAACACGUGAGUAACCUGCCCUUGACUUUGGGAUAACUUCAGGAAACUGGGGCUAAUACCGGAUAGGAGCUCCUGCUGCAUGGUGGGGGUUGGAAAGUUUCGGCGGUUGGGGAUGGACUCGCGGCGUAUCAGCUUGUUGGUUGGGUAGUGGCUUACCAAGGCUUUGACGGGUAGCCGGCCUGAGAGGGUGACCGGCCACAUUGGGACGGGGAUACGGCCCAGACCACUACGGGAGGCAGCAGUGGGGAAUAUUGCACAAUGGGCGGAAGCCUGAUGCAGCAACGCCGCGUGCGGGAUGACGGCCUUCGGGUUGUAUACCGCUUUCGCCUGUGACGAAGCGUGAGUGACGGUAAUGGGUAAAGAAGCACCGGCUAACUACGUG
rnacentral:rRNA from 1 species